AGAGUAUGAUAGAGGAAAGCAGAAUUUCUAGUGUAGAGGUGAAAUUCGUAGAUAUUAGAAAGAAUACCAAUUGCGAAGGCAGCUUUCUGGAUCAUUACUGACACUGAGGAACGAAAGCAUGGGUAGCGAAGAGGAUUAGAUACCCUCGUAGUCCAUGCCGUAAACGAUGUGUGUUAGACGUUGGAAAUUUAUUUUCAGUGUCGCAGCGAAAGCGAUAAACACACCGCCUGGGGAGU
rnacentral:rRNA from 1 species